rnacentral:snRNA from 1 species
GCACCGGAUCCCAUCAGAA